GCCCACUGUUGUGACCAAUGAUUUCGUCGCCACUUCCAACAACGUUGAAUUAGAUGAGGCAAAUAGUAAAUCAGCUGUAAGUUUAUUUUGUUGUUCAAGAACAAUUCUUUAUAAAACUUUGUCUGUUUCCCAUAUUUUGUAUGAAAUAUUUUGCUAAUGAAUCUUAUAUGUGAUUGUCUUUUUUCAGUCUUGGAUAGUAGAGUAGAAGCCAUGGUCUCAAGAUGGGCUGCCUGUUAAAAGAGUAUUGGAUGUAUUGGAGAGUAUGCCGGAACACUUAACUCUGAUAUUCGUCGCAAGGACUUCGAGAUACCUCAGCUCGAUGAUUCCUAGAAGCUUUGUUUCUGUUGUUUCAGACUUUUUUAUUUAGGUUAUAUCAGACUUUUUAUGUGUGUUGUUUCAGACUUUUGCUUUUUUGGAUGCUUUGGUUAUGUUGGUUGUUUUAGCUCGAUGACAUUUUUUAUGUCCCAGACUUUUAAGUUACUUGUUGCAGACUUUUAUGUAGGUUGUCGCAGACUUUUAUAUAGGUUAUCGCAGACUUUUAAGUAGGUUGUCGCAGACUUUUAUAUAUGUUGUAGCAGUCUUUUAUAUUACUUAUAUCAGACUUUUACAUAGGUUGCCUCAGA
rnacentral:lncRNA from 1 species